rnacentral:rRNA from 1 species
AGCGAACGCUGGCGGCAGGCCUAACACAUGCAAGUCGAACGAACCUUUCGGGGUUAGUGGCGGAUGGGUGAGUCACACGUGGGAACGUUCCUUUAGGUUCGGAAUAACUCAGGGAAACUUGUGCUAAUACCGAAUGUGCCCUUCGGGGGAAAGAUUAAUCGCCUUUAGAGCGGCCCGCGUCUGAUUCGCUAGUUGGUUGAGGUAAUGGCUCACCAAGGCGACGAUCAGUAGCUGGUCUGAGAGGAUGAGCAGCCACAUUGGGACUGAGACACGGCCCAAACUCCUACGGGAGGGAGCAGUGGGGAAUCGUGCGCAAUGGGCGAAAGCAUGACGCAGCCAUGCCGCGAGAAUGAUGAAGGUCUGAGGAUAGUAAAAUUCUUUCAACGGGGACGAUAAUGACGGUACCCGGAGAAGAAGCCCCGGCUAACUUCGUG